GUUUGAAUUGAAUUACCUUGAGUUGGGUUGAGGAUAAUUGUAUGUGUUGAAAAGGUUCAAGUUUAGGGUUGUAUGGGAAAAGUAAAAGGCAAAAGAAAAAGCAUUGAGUUCAAAAGUAAAAAAGAAAAAUGCAUGAGAAAGAAAAAGAAAAGAAGAAAAGAGAAAAAGCAUGUAAAGUGAACUCAAUGUAAAAGGAAAAAGGGAAGAAGUUGGGAAUGAGUGAGAUUGGUUAAAAAGAGAGUAUGCUUGAACUUUGAAUGAUGAUUUAAACUCUCUUAAGUCAAGGAUUUUGUAUUCCAAAAAACCCAAUUUCUUGAUAGCCCAACCACAUUACAAGCCUUGGAAAAAGUCCUUGUGAUGACAUUUGCAUGUGAAGAUUUUGAUUGUUUUAGAUGAACGACAAUAUUGUUUUAUGUGACAUG
rnacentral:lncRNA from 1 species